rnacentral:tRNA from 1 species
GCGGGAGUAGCUCAGAUGGCUAGAGCGUCAGCCUUCCAAGCUGAGGGUCGCGGGUUCGAUUCCCGUCUCCCGCUCCA